UCCAGGAAUAUGGAUCCUACAGAAGCCUGU
rnacentral:piRNA from 1 species